rnacentral:rRNA from 1 species
UACGAAGGGUGCAAACGUUGCUCGGAAUCAUUGGGCGUAAGGCGCACGUAGGCGGCCUCAAAAGUCGGGUGUGAAAGCCCCGGGCUCAACCUGGGAAUUGCAUUCGAGACUGCAUGGCUAGGAUGCGGAAGAGGGAAGCGGAAUUUCCGGUGUAGCGGUGAAAUGCGUAGAUAUCGGAAGGAACACCAGUGGCGAAAGCGGCUUCCUGGUCCAGCAUCGACGUUCAGGCACGAAAGCGUGGGGAGCAAACAGG